rnacentral:ncRNA from 1 species
ACGACGUAUGUGCGAGUAUGCGGGUGGCACAGCUGUAUGCAAAAUGAAGGUAAAAAGAAGGGGAAGUGUGACACUUUACGAUGUUAUACACUGCGGGUGCAACUGGCCACGGUCGUAGAGACGACAUACCUGUUACCACGAUCGUACAGGGAGCAAAUCUGUUACCAUUCGAAGGAUGGUGAACGGUGUCUCGGUAGGAUAAAGAAAGGGGAACCACCUGACAAAGGUUCACACCGAUACUGACGUGCAACACGCUUGUCAAACUCGCGUACAGAGGCGAAAAAAUUAUUGACCCAUCUAGUAGCUGG